UAGGGAAUAUUGGGCAAUGGAGGAAACUCUGACCCAGCAACGCCGCGUGAAGGAUGAAGGUCUUCGGAUUGUAAACUUCUGUUAUGAGAGAAAAAUAAAUGAUGGUAUCUCAUGAGUAAGCCCCGGCUAACUAUGUGCCAGCAGCCGCGGUAAGACAUAGGGGGCAAGCGUUGUCCGGAAUAACUGGGCGUAAAGGGAGUGUAGGCGGUUAUGCAAGUUGAUGGUGAAAGCCCGGGGCUCAACCCCGGAAUUGCCCUCAAAACUGUAUGACUAGAGUGUGGGAGAGGAAGAUGGAAUUCCAAGUGUAGCGGUAGAAUGCGUAGAUAUUUGGAGGAACAUCAGUGGCGAAGGCGAUCUUCUGGAACAUAACUGACGCUGAAAUUCGAAAGCGUGGGGAGCAAACAGG
rnacentral:rRNA from 1 species